GGAAGCAUCCCAGGUUCUAUUGCUACUCUUCGUCCUUGUCCUUUCCUCUAGGCUCCUGUAGGACCAUGGUGGUUGCGACUCUGCUUCCAGUUGGAUGUUCCCCGGCUUCCCAUCUCGUUGUUCUGAUGCUUCAAUCCUUUUUGUCAUCAAGACCUGUCUGCCAAUGCCUUGCAAAGCAAAUCUUUGGCUGCAGGAGAACACACUUGCCUGUGCCAGCCAAGGCUUAAAAAACACAGUACCGUCUUUCACAUGAAGGCAUCAUGCCGAAAGUGGUUAUGUGAAAGUUGUCUGGCAUGAGAAAGCAGUCACUUUUAAUCAGAGGCAGACUCACAGGAAGGUAAAUAGAUCAAGUU
rnacentral:lncRNA from 1 species